AAGGGGGUGAGCUUACGCUCAAUGAGGUACCAAAAUAAUAGCAGUCAAAUCUUGGCAUUUCACGUUUAACCAAUCAGGUAUACAUGCCAGAUAUAAAGUAAAGAAGUAAGACAAUGAUUCAAAUAAGAAGCAUACAGGUGGCUCUCAGGAGCCAGAUUUCCAUGGCAGAACUUGAUCCAAACCCGUUGACUCUCUGUCAACGUAUAUAGAACCAACAUGUUCGUAGACCCCACU
rnacentral:lncRNA from 1 species